AAAACCGUUGCCCUAUAGGGACAAGUAUUCUCACAACCUCGUUCCCAUUUGGACGAGGCAAUGGUUUUACUAAUGUGUAUACCCUCCUUGGCAAGAUAUUGGCGUCGCGAACCCCAACAAGACGAGUAAGGUACACCUUACACGUCCAACCGACUUGGCUAACCUAGUAGAACUCAUUUAGUAAACUCAUCUAGUAAACUCAUCUAGUAAACUCAUUUAGU